rnacentral:rRNA from 1 species
UACGAAGGGGGCUAGCGUUGCUCGGAAUCACUGGGCGUAAAGCGCACGUAGGCGGCUUUUUAAGUCAGGGGUGAAAUCCUGGAGCUCAACUCCAGAACUGCCUUUGAUACUGAGAAGCUUGAGUCCGGGAGAGGUGAGUGGAACUGCGAGUGUAGAGGUGAAAUUCGUAGAUAUUCGCAAGAACACCAGUGACGAAGGCGGCUCACUGGCCCGGUACUGACGCUGAGGUGCGAAAGCGUGGGGAGCAAACAGG